AUUGAACGCUGGCGGCAUGCCUUACACAUGCAAGUCGAACGGUAACGCGGGGCAACCUGGCGACGAGUGGCGAACGGGUGAGUAAUGCAUCGGAACGUGCCCAGUAGUGGGGGAUAGCCCGGCGAAAGCCGGAUUAAUACCGCAUACGACCUACGGGUGAAAGCGGGGGACCGUAAGGCCUCGCGCUGUUGGAGCGGCCGAUGUCAGAUUAGGUAGUUGGUGGGGUAAAGGCCUACCAAGCCUUCGAUCUGUAGCUGGUCUGAGAGGACGACCAGCCACACUGGGACUGAGACACGGCCCAGACUCCUACGGGAGGCAGCAGUGGGGAAUUUUGGACAAUGGGCGCAAGCCUGAUCCAGCCAUGCCGCGUGCGGGAAGAAGGCCUCGGU
rnacentral:rRNA from 1 species